UGAGGAAUAUUGGUCAAUGGGCGAUAGCCUGAACCAGCCAAGUCGCGUGAGGGAAGACGGCCCUAUGGGUUGUAAACCUCUUUUGUCGGGGAGCAAGGUCGCUACGUGUAGUGAUUUGAGAGUACCCGAAGAAAAAGCAUCGGCUAACUCCGUGCC
rnacentral:rRNA from 1 species